AAGGAGCGGAAGUCGGCCGCCGGCGCGGUGGAGCGGGGUGUGAGGAGAAAGAAGGGGUGUUUGCAGCGUCGGCGCCUGUCAACAGAGAGGGUGAAAGAGAGUAAGGAAGUAGUGGAUGUGAAAGAUACAUCGACUGGUUGCUUCCCACAGGCAUGGCGACUGGAACCAGGGAUCGAACCUGCAACCCAGAUCCUUCUUCACCCCUGGCUAAAUCCUCCCAGACGCUGAGCCCAUGCUCCCCUCGCAGCAGACACAAGUCCCUACAGAAGGCAGGCUACCUGGGCCUCCUCCCUGA